rnacentral:rRNA from 1 species
GACGAACGCUGGCGGCGUGCUUAACACAUGCAAGUCGAACGGAAAGGCCCUGCUUUUGUGGGGUGCUCGAGUGGCGAACGGGUGAGUAACACGGGAGUAACCUGCCCUUGACUUUGGGAUAACUUCAGGAAACUGGGGAUAAUACCGGAUAGGAGCGCCUGCUGCAUGGUGGGGGUUGGAAAGUUUCGGCGGUGGGGGAUGGACGCGCGGCUUAUCAGCUUGUUGGUGGGGUAGUGGCUUACCAAGGCUUUGACGGGUAGCCGGCCUGAGAGGGUGACCAGCCACAUUGGGACUGAGAUACGGCCCAGACUCCUACGGGAGGCAGCAGUGGGGAAUAUUGCACAGUGGGCGGAAGCCUGAUGCAGAAACGCCGCGUGCGGGAUGACGGCCUUCGGGUUGUAAACCGCUUUCGCCUGUGACGAAGCGUGAGUGACGGUAAUGGGUAAAGAAGCACCGGCUAACUACGUG